UGAACAACGCAAAUAAAUCACAUUCCAUCAAAAUGUUCUGCAAAAGUUCUUUCGGGGAUUCAUGAUGCCAGGACGUUCAAGUUACAUGACCUAUGUUUCUUGGGAAUGGAGAAGGAAGCAAGAUUCGGUCUUGGGUGCAGUGCCAUCCGUUUCAUGGAUGGGAUUGCAAUGAUUGAACCUACAGUUUC
rnacentral:snoRNA from 1 species